GCAACCAGGGGAAGAUGGGGACAGGGUGCAGGGAAGCUUGAGUGGGCCAAGGAUCACCUUGGAAAUCUGGAGUCUGGCAGGAGUGGCAUAGGGUAGAGGGCGGCUUGGGCCGGGCUGGCAGGCACCUGGCGGGCGAGUGGCAUAGGGGCCCGGGUGUCUGGGAGUCUGGGUCACAUCGGCAUGACGUGUGGCGGGCCCAAGCUGGGGGUGUAGAGGAAAGAGGGGGGAGCCAGGCAUUCAUCCCGGUCAGUUUUUGGUUUCAGGACGUGGCGGCUGGUGGACAAGGGGAGCCGAAGAGGGGUUCGCCCGGGACCUGGGUGGUGGGCUGCAGCUGGCAGCCGCAAGCAAGUGAGGACAGCUGCCUGUCGGCCAGGUGAGUCCCCUCCCCUCCCUGGGCCUUGCUCUGCUGGCCUUCUGCAGAAGGAGGUGGCAGGGAGCAAGGACCAGCGAGGAGAAGCGGCUGGCCUCCCGGCAGAGCAGCAGGACGAAGGAGGGCAGUCAGGACAGGUGACAUCGUCUCAGGGGGAGCUGAGACAGUGGGGGCUGGGGAGCUGGGGGUCCUUCCCAGGUAGAAAGAGUAUUUCAGGAGGGUGGGCAGGAGACGAGGCGGGGCUGCCAGCGAGGAAGGUGCUGAGGCGACCGCCUUUAUGGAGGUGACAGGUGGCCAUGGGGAUCCAGCAUGUGCGGGGACACCAAGCCCGGGUCGGACAGGAGGAGGUGGGGACUCAGGACGUAACAGGGUCCCCAGCCGCCACCACAUCUCACCCACCGAAAUUCAUUUAGUAGCAGGUACAGGAGCGGCUCUGGCUCGGGCCUCCCAAGGCCAGUGCUGGAGCUUCGAGGGCCGGAGAGCGGGAACGAAGGAGCAGUGCGCGGGGCGCCCGCAGCAGGGUGUCACCUGGAGGGAACGGCGGCCGCAGGAUCGGGCUCUGGAGAGAUUUCUGCAGCGAGGAGGCUGCCGUGGGCCCAGCCUGCGGGUGGCCGUUCCCACGUGGCACUGCGGCCCAGGGGCGGGCGCGGAGAGGGCCCACAGUGCACUCGGUGACACUGUAUGCCCUCACCGCUCAGCCCCUGGGUCUGGCGUGACGGACAGGACAGCGUCCAGGGGAGUCAAGGGCACAGGCGAGACCAGACUAGGCGAGGAGUGUGGGGCGGAGUGAGUGAGACCUCUGGCGGGGGGUCGGGGCGCAGGCAGGGGCGAAGAGCAGGAGCCUGGCGGCGAGCCAGGGGAGCACUGGCCUCCAGAGCUCGGGGCCAAGGCGGGCCUCUGCGGGCUUCGACGGAGCAGGGAUCGGUGCCUCUGGGAUCGGACUGGAGAUGAGGCCAGGUCUCCAGUUCGGGUGGUGAGCCCGCCAGCCACCGAAGGCCGGGCGCGAGGCUGCGCUCAGAGGGAUAAGACAUGGUCCGGUGUGACGGUGAGGACAGACGUGAUGCCGUCCGGCCUUCCUGAACAUUCUAGCCUGGCACCGCGGGGAGUCAGAACACCCACGGCUCUCGUUCCUUUGCGUUCCUGAAGGAGUCAACACACUGCUGCUCUCUGGACCCCUAUAACCCUCAAACUGACAAGAAAUGGUGCUACCCAGCUCAUGCCUGGGCCUUGGAAAUCGGACUUCUUCAAGUCCUUCUAGCUCUGACGCAAGAAGAUGCUGCAUUCUGGAACCACUACACUACUUGACUCAGGAAUCGGCUCUGGAAGGUGACGCAAAAGGAACGAGAGCAACCUGACCACAACACCGUCGGCAGCGAGCAGCCUCCGUGGCAGCCGCCACCCACCCCUCCUGGCAAUGUCAUCCCCGUGGCCACCCUGCCAUGGCCAGGCGACCACCAGCCGCCACGCCCCAUGCCCCUCGCCCUCUUUCUCUUCUUCCUUUCCUGUGUUCUCUCAUUUCCUUUCUUUCCUUUCCUUUUUGCUCGGGAGACUCAAAGCCCCCAUGACUCUGUUUCCCCGUCCCUCCUGAAUUUAAUUUGCACUAAGUCGUUUGCACUGGUUUGGAGUCUUGGAUCUGGCCUUGAGUUCCCGAGCGUGUGUGCAAGCAAGCUGCUGAGUGCACCUGGCCUCCUGUGGCCCGCAGCGCCCGGCACCCACCUUCCGUCCAUCUCUGUGUGGGGGUGCCCGGGUGCGGCUGAGCGCGUGAGGCCCCACCCCCCCUUGCCUAGUCUGGAAGCUCCUAACACCGAGCAGACCUUGAAGCAUUCCAUUGUAGCAUGACUCGCUCUGUGCCCCUCCCCACCAGGGCUUCACCAGGAGCCCUGGACUCAUCAAUAAACACAGUUACAGCAAUUUGUCUCA